UCCGUAGGUGAACCUGCGGAAGGAUCAUUAAUGAAAUUCAAGUCGGCAGGUUGUGCUGGCGUCCAAAAGGCGCAUGUGCACAUCUGUUGCAAAUCCACACACCUGUGCACUUUAGACUCUGAGCGAGUGGCCUCGUUUGGCUGCACGUCGGAGUAUUUUUACACACUCUGAAUGUAAAAGGAUGCUGUAGUGCUUACGCACAGAAAACAUACAACUUUCAACAACGGAUCUCUUGGCUCUCGCAUCGAUGAAGAACGCAGCGAAAUGCGAUAAGUAAUGUGAAUUGCAGAAUUCAGUGAAUCAUCGAAUCUUUGAACGCACCUUGCACCCUUUGGUAUUCCGAAGGGUACACCCGUUUGAGUGUCAUUGUAAUCUCACGCCUUAGGAUUUUCGAAUUCAAGGGAUUGUGGACUUGGACGUUCAUGCCACGUCACUGUGGCUCGUCUCAAAUGCAUGAGUAUGACUGGCUUGCCUUGUGUCAUCUGGUGUGAUAAGCAUCUUCACCAGUAUUUGGGGGACUCCUCUCAGGAGGGGAAACUCCGGCACUUGGGCUUGGCCUGGAGGGUCGGGCUUCGAACCGGUCUUCGGGGACAAAUCUCUUGGGAC
rnacentral:rRNA from 1 species